rnacentral:lncRNA from 1 species
GUGCAAUCGCCGGGUUUGGGGAAUGUCGCAACACGCGCACACCAAUCUCUCAAGCACUGAUCGAAUAGAGUUCGUUCACCAUCGUUCGUCUUGCAUCACGUUGAAAGAUAACACUACACGACUUUCCAGGUUGCAGAAGUAAUGAUGCAUAGCAGCAAUGAACCGGAACCACCAAGCGCAACCUGUUUCCUGGCCCAUCGCGAUUGUAUCCCUAUGAGGAACAUUGAUGUUUGGCCCGCUCGCUGUUGACAACCGGAGUGGCGUCAUUGUCGUCGGCUGGCUGCAGCAUUGCGUCCACAUUGCCUACGACCCCUACACCGUCUUCAUUAACGUCGCUAAUGGCUUCAGUGAAAUUUAGUAUCUGCUUUAAUGGCCUUCAAUGCUUUGGGAGCUUCGGGUCCGAAUGUUUUGCAGCGUUUGGUCCGAUCAGAAACAGUCCGAUUCCUCGUUGACUUUCGGGCGUGAGCUUCCUAGCAGUAUCCAUGGCAUUAAAGUACUAUGAUAUGGUUAACAUGUAGGUCUCCUGUAAGAUUCUAGCGGCUUUGGCAUGGACAGUCCAUUUUUGGCUGGAGGAAUGAACUUGUACGGUUGGAACAUUAUUUAUCCUUAACUUUCAGGACCACGAACAUUUUUGGGCGGGGCCCCAGCGCGAAGCGCCCAGGGGGGCCCCGACCUGUAGGAUUGCCCAUGUCCGUGUGUGUGUGUGUAACGGACCAAACAUAAUAUCUCGCCCGGCUGAAACGCGUUAUAGGUACUAUACAGCAUUCUCUAUUGCAAGGUAUCUCGCAUGUAGCCAACAAAAAUCGUAUGAGCACAAACAAGUUUGGCUGCCUCAAUUGACCGAGGCCAAAGUCACAUCAACGCCUCUCGCGCUAAAUUUCAUCUCAAAAGGUACCGCGUAUCUCAUAUUUGAAUUCUUAGAUGACGGCGUAUGAUAACUCGAACUCCCAGGCCUUGAGUGUGUAACGGACCAAACAGAAUAUUUCACCCGGCUGAAACGCGUUAUCGGUACUAUACAGCAUUCUCUAUUGCAAGGUAUCUCGCAUGUAGCUAACAAAGACCGUAUGAGCACAAACAAGUUUAGCUGCCUCCAUUCACCGACCUCAAAAGCCACAUCAACGCCUCUCGCGCUAAAUUUCAUCCCAAAAGCUGCCGCGUAUCUCACAAUGGAAUUCUGAGAUGACGGCGUAUGAUAACUUGAACACCCAGCUUGUGUUACCAUUUGCCGGCAUGGGCAAUCCGACUGGCCACCAGCAGGCCAACAUAAUUUGCUUUCAUUUCUCUAUGAAAUACACAAGCUGCUUGUCUGUACAUUUACUUUGGCCAAUGCACGGGGCCUCCGAAGAGUUGCAGCGUGCCGUGAUGAAGCUUGUGGCAGUAGAGUGCUUCCUGUAGCCGCAUGUAGACCACAUACAGGUCAGCAACCGAUGGGUGUGCCACGGAAUAGUCCCGAAAUCGCUCGAAAAUACAUUCGUUACACAAACACUACCUCCCACCAUGUUGACAUUACCCAUCAAUUGUCACACUUGCCACCCUUGCUACCGGCCUGUACGGAUGCAGAGGGGCCCCGCCCUUUUUCCGGCUUCAAGGAAGCCGACACCCAAUCUUGUUUUAUUCCGAAUUCGGAAUAUGUUCCGCAAAAAAAUAACGCUGAAUCCCAACAACUAAUUGCCCGAGCGUUGUCUCUCCUCUACUUAACGUUGGGGUAUCGCAGCUUCUCCGUACCUCGUAACCGAGGCCAGGGGUCCUAAUCCUCUCAUCCUGGGGUUGGGUACCGGUCAACCAUCCUCUAAUCUCAGCAGGGUGGACCACUUCUAAGUCCCUAUCCAGAGUGGGGGUCAUAUCCAUAUCCACAUCCCGAGGGAAGGAGUCUAAUCCACAUCCAGUAAGGUGAUAGUACCUUGAGCUCCCUUGUUCAUGGGCGAGCUGAGGCGGCACACGAACGAGCCAUACCUGAGCUCUAACCCCCACCGAUUUCUGACCCCCGUGGCUCCCAGAUGUGGGAAAAUGACCGACACCUUUCUGCCGUACCAGCAGCAGAACGGUGACAGAAGUAAUGGGACCCGAGGGGUUCCGGGGCGCUGUUCAGGUUGACGUUGGUUUGCGAAGUGAAGAGAGGUUUACUCCUAGAUGUCGACGACAGGGGUAGGUGUUUCGGCGACGUGAUGCUUAGCUAUUGCCUAGGGCUGAUGCCCGCAGGACUGGAACUCCAGGUAUGUAUGUAUGUUGUUACAGGGUGGUAUAGCUUCACCAGCGGCCCCCUUUCCCGUGGCAGUUCCCUGCUCUCACCUGCGAAAGGGGCACCCUAAUCCAUUCACCCCAUCCGACUUCAGAAUGAAUUCGUUGGGUUCAGCAACUCACCACCAGCAUCCAACCAAAUCAUGCGCUGGUGCCAGCUGCGAUGGAGCUUACAAGGACUUGAUCCAUUGAUACUGGAAAAGGUCGCAGUGUUAAUACAAAUGAGGUCCGAGUACAAACUUCCAAGGUGGGUUGUUGUCAACAACGACCCUUCGCCGUCGUUCGGGGCAUAUGGAUGCCAUCAUCGCCCGUAGGCUACGCUAAAACCAUAAAAACAAUCCAUGCACGUGUAAAGCGAGCAACAACAGCUCCACAUAAAACCUGCCUCACACAUCACGGUGCGUCUUUUACCUAAUUCAUCUUUACGAUUAGAAACAAAGUCCAAGCCCUAAAAAUGAACCACAAUCCAAAAACUCAACAAUCAGCAGUCGAUAUCUACACCCACGCACGAAAACCACAAAUAAUAACACGACCAAGUCAAGAUGCACAUGCACGUACUCGAUUAGAGGCAUCUGGUGUCACUGGGAUAUUGAUACACAUGUCUGGGGUUUCGUACAACCCCGCAAUACCCUUACUAGCCAUAUCACACACGCGCACAUACAUACAUACGUACAUACACACAUAGCUCUCCCUGCAUCGCCAUGGCCCCCAGUACUACUACCGCCCAUGCCGCCCCGCUAGCGUCGCGGUCCAGCAGCUACCAGCAGGCCACCAGGAUCGGUGCAGGCAACAGCAUAAUCAGCUGCCGGAGUGCCGUACAAACGGUAAAACCCUUACAACCAACGGUACAACCGUUAUUACCGUUCUGCUCACUUCUUGGGGGCCGGCGGCGGCGCCUUAUUCGUUAAUGGAGGUGAUGGGGGAGAUGGAAGCGGCUGCUUGCCCGCCGGUGCCGGUGGCGGAGGACGCACUGGCGGCUGGUUGUUGGACGCCGGCGGCGGCGGAAGUGGCUGCUUGUUUGACGGCAGCGUCGACGGCGGGGGCGAAACCGGCUGCUUGCUUGAUGGCUGGGUCGACGGCGGGGGCGAAAGCGGCUGCUUGUUUGACGGCAGCGUCGGCGGGGGGGGCGAAACCGGCUGCUUGUUUGACGGCUGGGUCGAGGGCGGCGGCGAAAUCGGCUGCUUGUUUGACGGUUGGGUCGACGGCGGCGGCGAAAUCGGCUGCUUGUUUGACGGCUGGGUCGACGGCGGGGGCGAACCCGGCUGCUUGCUUGACGGCUGGGUCGACGGGGGGGGCGAAAGCGGCUGCUUGUUUGACGGCAGCGUCGACGGCGGGGGCGAAACCGGCUGCUUGCUUGACGGCUGGGUCGACGGCCGCGGUGAAACCGGCUGCUUGUUUGACGGCUGGGUCGACGGCGGGGGCGAAAGCGGCUGCUUGUUUGACGGCAGCGUCGACGGGGGGGGCGAAAGCGGCUGCUUGUUUGACGGCUGGGUCGACGGCGGGGGCGAAAGCGGCUGCUUGUUUGACGGCAGCGUCGACGGCGGGGGCGAAACCGGCUGCUUGUUUGCCGGCUGGGUCGACGGCGGGGGCGAAACCGGCUGCUUGCUUGACGGCUGGGUCGACGGCGGCGGCGAAACCGGCUGCUUGCUUGACGGCAGGUUUGACGGCGGCGGCGAAAGCGGCUGCUUGUUUGACGGCAGCGGCGGCUUGCUGCUUGUUACGUUUGCAGCCAGGGCACCUGUGCAGAGGAAUGCGAUCCCCAAAGACACGUUCAAUGCCAGCACCGCUACUAGAUGACCUGACGAAGCUCCAAGUCGAUUUCCUAAGGCCGUCAGCAUAUCUACGUCGCCACACAAAUAUGCUGCUCCACAAAACAUUGUUCCCCGGAGGUGCACGCACAUGAUUAUGCACCUGAGAUUGCCUCACCUUCUUGGCACAGAAACGCGAGGACCAGCAAUGAGAGGAGGCGUACGGUGGCCAUUUUAUCCGUGAUAUGUAACAAGGAAAUGGUUGUAACGAAACAAACCACUUGGCUUCAAACCCAACGUUCCAGACGGAGGAGAUGCUUCCACAACACUUCGGGAGCCAAAAGUUAUACUAGUGAGUGAAAACUUGUGUACGGAACUGCCCACUACAGGCAUCGUACACAAAUUGCGAAACAGGAUGGCUGGUUUAAUGCUGUGCAUAUGGGGGUGCCGACUUGGUUUAGAAGUGGCGUCUACGAAUCGGCCAGCGGCGGUGUUUUUAAAGGAACAGCAGCAGCUUACUAAACUGGCCUUUGUCAGGUCGCCACGGUUUCAGUUUCGCCGCUGGAAAACCUUCGUCUAUGCGUUCAAAGUAAGGGAGAUGUUGCAAUAUUGCAUGUAGGUCUUAUGUUUUAGUUCCGAGUGUAAAUAAUGAACAAGUCAUGAGGGCGAGGGUGAGCCUCGGCUUUGGAGUCAUGCGUGCCAGUCCGGCAGAAGUUUAAAGGGUUUAGGGCUUUAUCAGAGCCGCAGUCCCAUGGCAGGUGAGGUUUUGGUGAGAUUAUAUAUGGGCACGUUACACGCCGUGCUUGCACGAAAGAUCGCGCUUAACAGUUCAGUGUUUGCGCCAUUUGCUUGUUUGGCCGAUAUGGAGGAUUGGUUGCUAGCUCUUACUUGCGCAAACAGCGAGCGCUUGCUGGAACGAAGGGCGGCAAGGCACUGCGUAUCGUGAUAUCAGCGCAAUGCGGCUGUCUGUGUGCAAUUUGAUAAGCUAAAUAGACACUUUCAGAGAGGAGGCCACAAGUCUUUGCCAGCCUCCUAGCACAGAGGCCGAAGACCACUUUGGCAAAGACUCGCUCGGUGCAAAGAUAGGGUGCUCGGUCCAUAUCUGGACGUACACGUGAAACUUCACCCGAAUGAAACCCCAGUGCUGCUUUUUAUGAAGCCGUGCCAAGUCUCAACCCAGCUCUAAGGCAAAUCACUCAUGACUGUACCCUUAAAUGUCUAGCUAUGAACAUAACCAGCCUGCAGGUCUGCCGCAUGCUUUUGGGUGCACAUCCCCGUGCCUGGGAGCUAAGGGCCUGUUCAAGGGUCCACUUCAAGCGCCGACCCUCACCUGAAACGAACGGUCAACAUUGCCUACGACCUCUAGGCCGUCUUCAUUAACGUCGCUAAUCGCUUCAGUGAAGUUCAAUAUCUUCUUUCAUGGCCUUCCACGUUUUGGGAGCUUCGGGUCCGAAUAUUUUGCAGCGUUUGAUCCGGUCAGAAACAGUCCGAUUCCUCGUUGACUUUCGGGCGUGAGCUUCCUAGCAGUAUCCAUGACAUUAAAGUACUAUGAUAUGGUUAACAUGUAGGUCUCCUGUAAGAUUCUAGCGGCUUUGGCAUAAACAGUCCAUUUUUAAGCAGCCCCUCGCACAAAUGUGAGCGGUCGUACUCUGCCGAAUAAACGGUUCGUACAUCGUCCAAAAAAGCCAGGAGCGAAUUUUGCCGCGCGGAUGCGCGCGUGCGAUUCGCAAAAUGCGCGUGUACAAGUGUAUAUAAAUUUUCUUGGCGGAUGAGGACCAGGUGCGCCAGCGCGUUGCGCAGGUGGGCAUGUUGGCCACAGCCGCACGCGG